ensembl:misc_RNA Metazoa_SRP Metazoan signal recognition particle RNA
GCUGGGUGCGGUGGCUCUCGCCUGUAAUCCCAGCACUUGGGAGGCCGAGGCAGGUGAAUCACCUGAGGUCAGGAGUUCGAGACCAGCCUGACCAAUAUGGUGAAAACCAGUCUUUA